AAUAUUGCAGAGGAUGUGGAAUUAGAGCUCUGGAAGUUGUUUCAGACCGCAAGAUCUCCCUCUCUCUCUCUAAUGUCUCAAUAACAAACCUCGCAUAUCUCUGUUUCCAAAACGGAAGACAUUAUUCCCAGUCAGACCUAACCCUGCCCAGAAGCAAACAAAUGUUUUUAAAGCCUAAAAACCAUGGCUUUUUUUCUUCAAAAGUCUCCCAUGACUGUUAUCUAGUCCAUUGCUAGAGAAAAUGGUAUUUAAAAAGAAAAGUGUAGUACUGGAAAGUCAACUUCUUGCAUUUGACAGAAUAUUUGUCACUGCCCUUGAGGUUCUUUCUUUUCAGAUCCAAGAUCUUGAAGAUGCCAUAUUGUGACUUGCUCUACACUACAAACUAGCAAACCUCUAAAUAAAGUAAUAUUUUAGUACUAGAAAAUACACAGGAAAACCUCUUAACACCAAUAGAUAUAUUGUUCUGAUAUGGGUUCUGAUACAGGCUGAUAUGGGUACCAUUUUUAAAAGUCUAUCACUAAAUAAAUGCAUUGAGGCAAAAGCAUAUCUCUGCCUGGAUGCUCCUGUGCAUAGACAGGACAUUUUUUUUUCCUCCUACCUUUUGAAAUUUACACUUGAAAUAUUUAAAACCUAUUAUAUCAGGAGAGACCUGAAAAGGUGGUUUCCCCUCUGGUGUUCCCCACUUGAUAGUUGGCCGGGCAGCCAGAGGGAAACUGCUCACGCUACUUUGUACAGCCCUGUCCGAGUCACCUGCGCUGAAAGCCACCCCUGAGGGGCUCCACAGGCGGAAUGUCUGCACAUCCCCUGAGCCAGCCGUGCCAGCGGCACCUCCCGCACCCGGGCCGGAGGCUGUGGAGCAGCGGGGCUUCCAGGCUGGGUACAGCUGUUAUAAAUAAGGGGUGAGAAUGCCACUGCAGUGUUAAAAAAUGUGUGGGCGCACCCGUGCGCACGGACAUCCUUCUGCCCGCUCAGCGGUUCCGCCAGGAAGGCCCCUCAGCCCCGCAGCUGCAGCGGCACGGCUCUCUCUGCUCUCUUACCUGGCAGCAUUUCCUGAUACCAUCAGAGACCACAGGUGGAGCGUUGAAAUAAAGCAAGAAAGAGUUUUCUCCUGAUGAGAUGUCCAGACAGACGUGACUAAAGAGAUGAGCAGCUACCCACAUCCUAGGUUUCUUUUUCCCUUAGUUCCAGUGCAAUUAUGUCUUUCAAACCAUCUGGAAGGCUGAGAAACAGCUGACAAAGAAUCCAGUCCUUAUAUGGAAGAACUUUAAAUACCUAUGAAUUUUCUUGCUGGGAAGAGGGUCAAGCAUGGUCUGUUUUCAGAGACACAGCCAGAAGCAAGGGGUUCCGUGACUGUUGUGGUAAAUUGCCUGUGAUCAAAUGUCGUGGCUCAUGGCUGUGUUCCGAAUUUAUUGGAGAAGAACCUGGCUGAGGAGAGCCAGUGAUGGAGAAGGCACCUCAUACUGCAGCAUCUAGUAAUAAUUCCUAAUUUUACUCCAAGGCAGGUGUGAUGUAAAUGGUUCAGCUGAGCUUGAGAAUGUCCUGAAGUUUGAACCUUUCAAUAGAGCCACAGUCCAACUGCAUUGCUGAAAAAAAACCAAGCUGCAAGCAAAGGCUGACAUGUAACAGAGCUGUUAAUAAGUACAAAACAUUGGUUUCCAUAUGCAAUAUUUAAAAUAUACCAGGAGAAAAAUCACAUAAGGAUCUUUACCAUAGGUUUUGCAGUCAUUAUCAGUCAGCUCUGUCAGAAAUUAUGUUAUCCUCCAUUCUUUUAUGCUUAGCCAAAAUUUAGAAUUGUAUUAGGACUGCACAUCUAAAGAGGAAUCAAAAUCCUGUUCCUUCAUUUGAAACAAUUUUUGCAUGUUUUAACUCAAAGAUUCCCUUUUAUUCUAUCAACCUGUUUUUAUGGCUGCAGAUGUUGUGGAGUAUAACCUCAGAUGAUGCAGAAAUAGUAUCUAUAAGUAUGCAAAAUGAAAUCAAAUCUUGGAGGUGCUAAUGCUAACAAUUGGCCUGUGAUGUUAGCUUUAUUCUCUUUUCCAUGUUUCUUCUUCAUCAUGUCUCCUGGUGUUGCCUGAACAAAAACUCUGAGAAGCAGGAGGCAGCUUUGCUCUGCACCUCGGCUGGAGCUGCUCCUCCCCUCAGCAGAGUGCAGGACAGGAGGGUGCUGCUGCAUGUGUGGAGCAAGUGACAGUCUGCAGUGCUGACAGGAGCACGGGCUGAAAACAAGGGUUCUGUGGUUUCAUCCUGUAUUACAACCUUCCAGCCGAAGACCAUCUGAGUCAAAAAAGAAGGAACAGAAGGCCUUAUUUAUCUGAGGCAGCAACUUCUUGCAGGUGAGAAAUGAAUGUGACAUCUCCACUCCAUUACAAUGGCAUAACUUGCUACAAGCUUGACAUAGCAAAAUAUAAACAAAUCAAUGCACAACUACUUUUGGUGUGGAGACAAGCAAAAACUAUCCAAAACGCAGCAUACUCAGCUGGCAUUAUUUGUAGACUGGCUGGCAGCCUCUGCAGAGAGAGCAAAAAAUACAAAAAUACAUUCAAAGGUCCUAUUUCCAAGGCACUUUAGGGAUGUGCUAGCCAGGCAGUGUGGGAAAUGGGCCUUCCAUAUGUUUGUGAAACCCCUACCAGAUUUAGAAGGUAAAGGGACUAGUAGAGUUUAAUCUAAAGUGCUUAUUGUUGUAGAUGUAUUGGCACAUUUAUCUUUGAAAAUUAAAAUAUACAGACUCAUUCCCAAAGCUCUAAAAAUGAAGACUUGCACGAUUUUGGAUUGUUCUGCAGUGCUAAGCUAGAUGUUUCUGCUCUGCUGGGCAUGUGUAACAGCAGACAAUAAAUAGACAGCAUCUUCUGCAGGGAUUAAAGGAAAAGCUAUACCGCAGUAAAACUAAGGCAAAUUACCUUGUCUAAUUCUAUACCGCAAUUUCAGUUUUCUGCCAUUGUCAGUACCAUGUGCUGCAGACAUCAAAGGGUUGAAUUUUGUCAGUCUUGAGUUAUCGUAAAAGCUACAGUCUUGCAAUUCAUCUUUAAUGAGUUGUUUACAUUGAAAUCAGACAGCCGUGGAAUUUCUUGAAAAUGGCUAAGGAUCAUUCCUAGGAGUCUGUCUCUUAAAAACAACUUCUGUGGCCAUACAUCAACUAUAAUUGAGAUUCAUAGCUGUAAUAAUGCUGUUUACUGUUUCACUCUGAAUAGUUUUCUUGUUUAUGUGCCCCAGCCUAUAUCUUCCAAAAUAUAUACCGUCUCUUAUUGCUGCAACCUGGAAUUUACCAACAGUAUCAGUAAUAAAUCACAAGCAACUACUCUUACUUUUAUUCCUCUCUUAGGAAUAGAGUGGAGUGGAAGCCUUUACACACAGCUGUCUGAACUUAGAUCAUUUUCAGAUAAAAGCAUUAUUUUUGCUCUAAAGUGUCCCAGGAGCCGCCUAGACAGAAUUGUACACAGUUAGGAUCUACAUAUUUUUACAUGUGAGGCAACCAAGCAAGAUUCAUAAUGGAAAAUUUAAUUCCAGAUCGGCAUUUAGGUGAGUCUGGACCAUGCAGAUGCACACACAAAGUCCAUACUAGCUGCUCGAGAGGUCAUUGGACCUUCAGCAUGAUCACUUCAGGAAAAUGCUGACAUUUUCACUGGUUUUGCUACAUCUCUUUAUUCCUGUGGUCCAGUUUGUUCCAUUUUCAAACAUCCUGUCUUGGUCUCACUAUCUUUUUUCCAAAAUUAUAUAUUGUUGGUUUGUGUUUUAGAUACCAAGAGUUUUAGUUCAGUUGUAAGAUAUACUGUUCCAUGUAAGCGCACUUUGACACUGGAUACAGUCCAGGAUGAAGUACAUAAAACCUGGGCUGUCACAUCAAAGGAUACUCAGUAAAUUUAGUCCUUUAACCUUAUUACUCUCAGCAUUUUUAAUUAUACUUUAUGAGUUAGGAUCUUUGUGCAUUCAGUUUGUAAAGGGAUGCUCUAUUUGGUGCAAAAGUUAAUCCUCCUAUUUUAACUGCACUCACACUCUGCUAUCAAAGCUCUCAGUAGCAGCAGCUGAAUUCAAGGGCUUGUCGUGUGUAUUAAUCCAGUUUUUUGAGUUCUGUGGAGUGAAAGACUGCAGAAAUGCAAACCCCUAUUUACUUACUUAAUAAGAAGCCAGAAAGACUAGCAGGACUUGCAUGACAUUUCAAUUUGACAAUAAUAUCAUUUUGUCCCCCUUUGUUUUGAACUAACAUGUUACUUAAAAAUCAUCUUUAAUUUGCCAAUCUAUGUGUAAAAAGACCCAAAUACAUUAAAUAAAAUUUCUGGUUUAGUUUUUCUCUUGCCCUUUAAAACAGAGAAAUACCUGAAAAUCUAAUAUUUAAAUUUAGACUAUUUGUGUGCUCAAAGCAGCAAGUAGAGAUAAGUGCAGCAAGGUUUAAUGUUUUUAAAUUACAGUCACACUAUGUAGUAAUAGAGUUAUAAUUAUCUAAAAGUGGCCUAUCAGACAAAAAUACGUGUUCAGUGUUUUUAACUGAAAGUUUAUUUAGAAUACCUUUGGACUUAAUAUGAAGGUGAAUAAACCUGUAGCCCAUAUCCUCAACAUAUUGGAAUUUUACUGGGAUUUAAAUGCAAGGCUUCUGUGGCAAUAAAGAAGGGGUAAUUUUUAAAUGUAGCUUGCAAGCAGCUGGGUAAAAGCAGGAGUGUCAUAUAUUAGUUAGGUGGGAUAUUUUCUAGGACAGAAAGGUAGCUCUUGAAGCUUGGCCUCAUGUGUGUGUAAAUGUGAUCUUGUCCCACAUUCUUGUUAUGGGUUUUUUUAUGGCUCAUUUGCAAUAACUCCAAAACUUAAGUGAGACAUACAAAGUGGUACAGAUUGUUGGUUCACCAGCAAAACUCAACUAUCAUGCUGGAAAACAGUGUUCAGUGUCCAUGGGCAUAAGCAGUUUUAAUGAAAGGGAGCAGUGAGGGUAACCCUUCUAGAUUUGGAGUUCCUAUAUUAAAAUGAAAGAAAUUCUAGGAUUAUGGGCAGAUGUAUAUCAAGUAGGCACUUGAUUUAUAAAAAAAAUAAUUGAAAAUAAUUGACCUAACAUUUGCCAAGCAACCAGAUACAGUAUUUGAUUUGAAAUGUGGUAUAGCUAAAUAAAGUUAUUUCAUUCUGACACGUAAACAAUGCAGAGAAUAAAAAGGCAGAAGCCGGACAGAAGCCAGGCAGAAGCCUUCUUUCCUAGUAAGCUAACAGACAGGAAUGCUUUUCUGAGUUACUCUGUUUACUUUUAGCAGUAGGAACUGACAGGACUCACACUACAAAGCAAAAAAGGAUGGAUCUGUUUCAUGAAUUAGAAUCUACCUCUGAAACACUUUCUGCCUUUCUGAAGAAAAGGUUGCCAAAAUAUGUUUUUAAUUACUUUCAGAGAUAUUUUUGUUUCUCUUGUCUACAGCUGUCCUUUACUGAA